rnacentral:rRNA from 1 species
CACGUAGGCACCAAGCGUUGUCCGGAUUUAUUGGGCGUAAAGAGCUCGUAGGCGGUUCGGUAAGUCGGGUGUGAAAACUUUGGGCUCAACCCAAAGCCUGCACCCGAUACUGCUGUGACUUGAGUCCGGUAGGGGAGUGGGGAAUUCCUGGUGUAGCGGUGGAAUGCGCAGAUAUCAGGAGGAACACCGGUGGCGAAGGCGCCACUCUGGGCCGGUACUGACACUGAGGCACGAAGGCCAGGGGAGCAAACGGG